rnacentral:tRNA from 1 species
UCCCUGGUGGUCCAGUGGUUAGGACUGUGUUUCCAACACAGGGAGCGCAGGUUCAGCCCCUGGUCAGGGAC